GUAGUGGUGGUUCAGUGGUAGAGGUCUCGCCUUCCAUGCGGGAGACCCAGGUUCGAUUCCUGGACAGUACA